rnacentral:SRP_RNA from 1 species
UGGGCAGUCCUAUACGACCAGCUCCCUCGGAAUCCUCCAGGAUGGGAACAUAGCAAAGGUACUUGGUUGUAGCGGUGCGAUAUAGUAAGCUGCCCAC